UUUGAUCACGACCAGAGAUGUUCCUGAACCAUCUGGCUCAUUUCCACGAGCAGAGGGCACAGGUCUGUUGGUAGCUGCCUCCCGCUUUGCACAUUUCUGCCAACGAGCCCGGAGAGGAGGGCCUGCCGUUCGAAUGAUGCCUGAAGUGCGCCAGGCCGGCUCUGUAUUGAAGAUGUCGACCAUCUUACCAUUGUUCUGAGGACAUUAGCAUCCCUCACCACCCCCAGCAUUUGUGCAUCCUGUUCUGGAGGAUCAGUAGGAGUUCAGGUAAGUCAGUGAGCAAUUGACACCUCAGGGGAACUCUCGGGCACUUCCCAGUCCCUUGACGGACUCCUCGUUUUCUCAGGGAGGGGCAGAAUCAGUCCCCAGGAUGUGAUCUUCCCUCUCCCCCUUCUCCUUUCCUCGCUGUACCUUUCAAUUAAA
rnacentral:lncRNA from 1 species